rnacentral:rRNA from 2 species
GGAUGCAAUCAUACCAGCACUAAAGCACCGGAUCCCAUCAGAACUCCGAAGUUAAGCGUGCUUGGGCGAGUGUAGUACUAGGAUGGGGACCUCCUGGGAAGUCCUCAUCUUGCAUUCC